CUAAUCCACUUCUUCCACUAUGAGCUCACUUCCUGGUUGCAGUAACUCCUUCAGGCCCUGAAGCCCAGUCUAGUGCAGUGGUUAGAGCUCCAUAGUAACGCAGGACAAGGCAAUAUAAGUUAUGUCUCCUGGAAGUGUGGGGUUCUGAGAACAGGAACGUCGCUAUGGGAAUACUGGUAUGAGAAGAAGCGACUUGACGGCCAGAGCAUGAAGACCACUACUUCCCAACAUGGCCUUUAGACUGCGCCUCAUACCAGUCAUACUGUCCCAACAUCAGCAGUAGGAUGGCGAGGCUGGCGGACACAUGGUCAGACAUUGAGGGAGCGGAUGUGGGUGCUGCCGCUCAAUCACACCAUCCAGGAACCAGGAAAGUCCAAGCGGGUUAGUGGAGAGUUUCAAAUGAAAACAAAUGACCAACACGGAUUGCCUUCAAUUAAGUAUUCCUACACAAGGCUGGGUCGAAGACAUGAAACCAAGGUGGCUCAUAUGCUACGCAUGGCUCAGUGCAGCAGGUUCUCAUAUGACAGUCUGUUCUACAGCUUUAGGUAAGUGGUCUGAAACAGGACCAAUAUGCCAUUACUGCUCGUAUCCUGUGUGUAGCAGGAAUCCAUUCAUGAGCCUUUUAUCAUAGCGAGUUCUUCCGCUGAAGGCCACAGUCUCAGGAAGUACCUGGACCCUACUACACUGUAGCUGUAAUACCAAAGGAGGAACCCACAGUGAUGAAGUUGUGUUGGGUAUGGGGGCAACUGUGUAAUCUCACCCAAUAAAAAUGAAAAGAUAAAUAUUA